AUGGAGGAGUGCUCGGUCAUCUACGACCACAGGACCGGGAAAGUCUCGCGGUUUUGCCUUCGUCCACUACAAGAAUCAAGAUGAAUGCGACAGAGGCGAAGGAGAGCUGCGCCGGCAUAGAGGGCUGGAUGGGCGCGCAAUCGAG